ACAUACUUCUUCAUAUGCCCAUAGGGAGUCAGCCGGCGUUAUGGAAUGUUAAGAAGUAUGUAU
rnacentral:pre_miRNA from 1 species